rnacentral:rRNA from 1 species
CUUGAAAGAAGGAGAUACGCCUUUUUAUUGUUUAGCUCUAUAGCUAUUGUUGUGUAAACAUGGUAAAAUGUAAAGGCUGUUGUGACAAAUAAAUCAUCCCUUUUAAUAACCAGUUAAAAAUUUUAAUAUUUCGUAUUACUCCAAAGGUUAAGAGAUCCUAGGAGAGACCAGAAUUAUUAGUGCUUACCAGUUGCUAGUAGGAUGAAAAUUUUCCCUAUGUUUGGAUUUGUUACAAGACAUUUGAAGGAUAUCUAAAUAUUUGGGGCAAACAAUUUUUAUAGACAAUAAAAGUUAAUUUUAAAAUUAUUGUAUAAGUAAUACUAAUAUGCUUUUUUUUUCUUGUUACUACUCAGACUGUUUAUCAAAAACAUUGCCUCUAGAAGUUACUAGAGGUAUGACCUGCUCAGUGUGUUUUAUAAAUAGCCGCAUUAUCUUGAGUGUGCUAAGGUAGCAUAAUUAAUAGCUCUUUAAUUGGGAGAUUGUUUGAAUGGUUUAACUAGGGUUGUCGUUAGAUAAGGCAUAAUGUUGAAGUUAUAUGUGCUAGUACAGAUACUAGCAUAAUAAAUCGGGACGGGAAGACCCUAGGAGGUUUGUGCGUUAAGCACUUAUUUGGGGCAAAGCGUUGUUUUUCACAAGAGUUAUGAACCACUGUGGUGAAAUUGAUUAAAGCUACCCUAGGGAUAACAGAGUAAGAAGUAAAGAGAGGUCAUAUCGAUUUACUUAAUUGCUACCUCGAUGUUGACUUAAGAGAAAGUUGUUUGAUGCAGAAGUUACACAAACAGGUCUGUUCGACCUUUAAAUUCUUUCAUGAGUUGAGUUAAGACCGAUGUAAAUCAGGUUGGUUCCUAUCUGAUGAAUUUUCUUUAUUAGUACGAAAGGAUUAUAAAG